AAUGUAAUGGAAGUAGGAUUUGUCAGCACAGUGAGGGGUUGGCUGAUAGACUUUCCUCAGGUGAACUCUGCCCUUCUAAUGGUUGCCUGUUUCCUACUUCUCCCAGGCAGUAGACCCAGGCCUGCCAUCUGUGAAGCAAGAGCCACCUGACCCUGAGGAGGACAAGGAGGAGAACAAGGAUGACUCUGCCUCCAAAUUGGCCCCAGAGGAAGAGGCAGGAGGGGCUGGCACACCCGUGAUCACGGAGAUUUUCAGCCUGGGUGGAACCCGCUUCCGAGAUACAGCAGUCUGGUUGCCAAGGUGUGCCCCACACAGUGAGGGGUGGGGAAGGAGUGGGCGUUGGCCAGAUGUGGGCCCUGAGUUUUGAAAGUAUAGCCAGCAGUUUGGCUUGGUGUGGUGGGAGGUAAAGGCCCAUACCCACUAUGCUGAUCACAAUUAAUGAGGGGCAUGUGUGUAGGACCCUAGAGAUUUCUCCUGAGAUCCAGCCCAAUAACAUUCCAGGUUAGGACUCU
rnacentral:sRNA from 1 species